GACGAACGCUGGCGGCGUGCCUAAUACAUGCAAGUUGAGCGCUGAAGGUUGGUACUUGUACCGACUGGAUGAGCAGCGAACGGGUGAGUAAAGCGUGGGGAAUCUGCCUUUGAGCGGGGGACAACAUUUGGAAACGAAUGCUAAUACCGCAUAAAAACUUUAAACACAAGUUUUAAGUUUGAAGGAUGCAAUUGCAUCACUCAAAGAUGAUCCCGCGUUGUAUUAGCUAGUUGGUGAGGUAAAGGCUCACCAAGACGAUGAUACAUAGCCGACCUGAGAGGGUUAUCGGCCACAUUGGGACUGAGACACGGCCCAAACUCCUACGGGAGGCAGCAGUAGGGAAUCUUCGGCAAUGGACGAAAGUCUGACCGAGCAACGCCGCGUGAGUGAAGAAGGUUUUCGGAUCGUAAAACUCUGUUGGUAGAGAAGAACGUUGGUGAGAGUGGAAAGCUCAUCAAGUGACGGUAACUACCCAGAAAGGGACGGCUAACUACGUG
rnacentral:rRNA from 1 species